GAUGAACGCUAGCGGCAGGCCUAACACAUGCAAGUCGAGGGAGGAGCUUUCGGGCUUCGACCGGCGUACGGGUGCGUAACGCGUAUACAAUCUGCCUUUCACAUAGGGAUAGCCCGAAGAAAUUUGGAUUAAUACCUAAUAGUAUAUAGAUGUGGCAUCACAUUUAUAUUAAAGCUGAGGCGGGGAAAGAUGAGUAUGCGUUCUAUUAGCUAGUUGGAGAGGUAACAGCUCCCCAAGGCGACGAUAGAUAGGGGUUCUGAGAGGGAUAUCCCCCACACUGGUACUGAGAUACGGACCAGACUCCUACGGGAGGCAGCAGUGAGGAAUAUUGGACAAUGGUCGGAAGACUGAUCCAGCCAUGCCGCGUGCAGGAAGACGGCCUUAUGGGUUGUAAACUGCUUUUGCAGGGGAAGAAUAAGGACUACGUGUAGUUUGAUGACGGUACUCUGCGAAUAAGCAUCGCUA
rnacentral:rRNA from 1 species